UACGAAGGGGGCUAGCGUUGCUCGGAAUUACUGGGCGUAAAGCGCACGUAGGCGGCAGGUCAAGUCCGGGGUGAAAGCCCCCAGCUCAACUGGGGAAGUGCCUUGGAUACUGGCGUGCUCGAGGGAGGUAGGGGCCCGCGGAACUUCUGGUGGAGCGGUGAAAUGCGUUGAUAUCAGAAGGAACGCCGGUGGCGAAAGCGGCGGGCUGGACCUUUUCUGACGCUGAGGCGCGAAAGCCAGGGGAGCAAACGGG
rnacentral:rRNA from 1 species